rnacentral:misc_RNA from 1 species
GAUGAAGAACGUAGUGAAAUGCGAUAAGAAAUGUGAAUUGCAGAAUUCAGUGAAUCAUCGAAUCUUUGAACGCACAUUGCGCCCCCUGGUAUUCCGGGGGGCAUGCCUGUUCGAGCGUCAUUUCACCACUCAAGCCUCGCUUGGUAUUGGGCAACGCGGUCCGCCGCGUGCCUCAAAUCGACCGGCUGGGUCUUCUGUCCCCUAAGCGUUGUGGAAACUAUUCGCUAAAGGGUGUUCGGGAGGCUACGCCGUAAAACAACCCCAUUUCUAAGGUUGACCUCGGAUCAGGUAGGGAUACCCGCUGAACUUAAGCAUAUCAAUAAGCGGAGGA